rnacentral:rRNA from 1 species
GAUGAACGCUGGCGGCGUGCCUAAUACAUGCAAGUCGUACGGAAAGGCCCUUCGGGGUACUCGAGUGGCGGACGGCUGAGUAACGCGUGGGAACGUGCCCCAAAGUGAGGGAUAACGCACCGAAAGGUGUGCUAAUACCGCAUAUGGUCUUCGGAUUAAAGCUUCGGCGCUUUGGGAGCGGCCCGCAUACGAUUAGAUAGUUGGUGAGGUAAUGGCUCACCAAGUCGACGAUCGUUAGCUGGUCUGAGAGGAUGAUCAGCCAGACUGGGACUGAGACACGGCCCAGACUCCUACGGGAGGCAGCAGUAAGGAAUCUUCCACAAUGGGGGCAACCCUGAUGGAGCAACGCCGCGUGCAGGAUGAAGGUUUUCGGAUCGUAAACUGCUUUUAUAAGUGAAGAAUAUGACGGUAACUUAUGAAUAAGGAUCGGUUAACUACGUGCCAGCCGCCGCAGUAAAAC